ACGGCUCAGUAACACGUGGAUAACCUGCCCUUGGGUCCGGCAUAACCCCGGGAAACUGGGGAUAAUUCCGGAUAACGCACAUAUGCUGGAAUGCUUUAUGCGUAAAAUGGAUUCGUCUGCCCAAGGAUGGGUCUGCGGCCUAUCAGGUAGUAGUGGGUGUAAUGUACCUACUAGCCAACAACGGGUACGGGUUGUGAGAGCAAGAGCCCGGAGAUGGAUUCUGAGACAUGAAUCCAGGCCCUACGGGGCGCAGCAGGCGCGAAAACUUUACAAUGCGGGAAACCGUGAUAAGGGGACACCGAGUGCCAGCGUCAUACGCUGGCUGUCCGGGUGUGUAAAAUACACCUGUUAGCAAGGGCCGGGCAAGACCGGUGCCAGCCGCCGCGGUAACACCGGCGGCCCGAGUGGUGAUCGUGAUUAUUGGGUCUAAAGGGUCCGUAGCCGGUUUGGUCAGUCCUCCGGGAAAUCUGAUAGCUUAACUAUUAGGCUUUCGGGGGAUACUGCCAGACUUGGAACCGGGAGAGGUAAGAGGUACUACAGGGGUAGGAGUGAAAUCUUGUAAUCCCUGUGGGACCACCUGUGGCGAAGGCGUCUUACCAGAACGGGUUCGACGGUGAGGGACGAAAGCCGGGGGCACGAACCGGAUUAGAUACCCGGGUAGUCCCAGCCGUAAACGAUGCUCGCUAGGUGUCAGGCAUGGCGCGACCGUGUCUGGUGCCGCAGGGAAGCCGUGAAGCGAGCCACCUGGGAAGUACGGCCGCAAGGCUGAAACUUAAAGGAAUUGGCGGGGGAGCAC
rnacentral:rRNA from 1 species